ACUAUUGUUGUUCGAUAAUGUAAAUCCUAUAUUAUUCUAUUUAAUGAAUAUUUAUUCAAGAUAAGUUUAUGUUAUUCUUAUUGUUAUAAAAGAUAACUUGGACUAUCAAAUUCUUAACUUCCAGGCACCUAGUUGUUUUCUUUGCAUCUUGUGUAGAAGCUGAUUCCAAGGAUUAAAUAGGUUGAGCUUUCCUUCUCAUCCAUUGGAGGCUAUAAUAUACUUGUGAAAAAAUGUUUGUGGUAUACUUUCUUAUUCUUUUGUAUGGAAUUUACUAUGUCCAAUAGCCCAAUAGAUCAUGAUCAUUUAGUCCAGAAACUAAUCAUAUGUUAUCAGAUAAAGAAACAAUUUUAGAUAUGUUGUCUUUUAAUUUAUCGUUUCAACUUUGAUAAGUUGAUCCUUACUAAUGAUGUCAAGAUAAUGAAGUUUGAACUUUAAUAACUUUGAAAAUAUAUGUUUCAAUCAUUAUAGAUUCAACUAUAUACCCCGACAUGUAGUUGAAAAAGUGUUUCCGAGGCAAGUUAUCUCCUCCAAUGUUUUAGAGUACAUAUAGGCGUGAGUAUAAAAUUUCGCCCCUUAAAUGAUUACUGAUUUCUAUUCUUCUUUAUGUAGACUGCUUUGCUCACAUAGGCCUCAAUACUCCAAGGAAAAGUGUGUUAAAAUCAAUGCUUUUUUGCUUUUAUGAUUAUGUGCUUUUAUGCUUCUAUAAUUAUGUAUUCAUCUUGUUCUUUAGUGUAUUCAUGGUAAAUUCAUUUCAUAAUACCUUUAUGCUAGUGGAGAUUACAUCAUUGUGAACCACAUACAUUCAUUUUGUUCAUGUUUCAGUUAACACUUUGGUUAUUCCAAGAUAUGGAGCAAGUGGAGACUAAUCCUUCUUGUACUGACUUAGCAUAUGAGAAGGCUAUUUCAGAUGGUGUGGAUGUUCUUGACUGUCCUGUUUAAAUGUCCAAGGAUGGAAUACGUUUUUGCUUAAGCUAUAUUGAUCUUAUUGGGCUGUAAAGUAUUUAUUAUUAUCUGUGCAAUUUUCUGUUGUUGCUUUCAUCUCUAAAUUGUACUAAUGUAUCGUGUUGUGCAUGGCAGAGGCAGAACUCCUUACAGCUCCACCAAGUUGGUACAAAUCCUCUGCUCAAUCACUUUGACAUGAAUGGCACGA
rnacentral:sRNA from 1 species